UUGGACCGCACAUGUGGACAAAGCCUUGAACCUCUUGAGGCUUGGGGACUGAUGGUGGCUUAGCAUCCAAGAAAGGGUGAAAAGCUCUUCGAGGCUUCUCAGAAUCUGGAGAUCCUACCAGUGCAAAGAUCUGAGGAUGCUUGAGCCAACAUUUUACCCCUCCUAGCAACAUGGUGCUCCUUGCCCAUGGAUGGAUUAAAGCGGGGGUCAUGAUAAUAGAGGUGUAGGGGCUAAUUCUCUAGAGAUCCUACAUAGCCCACUGAAAUCAAUUUGGUCCACUAUAGCCAGCCAUAGUCCACUAUAGUCGACAUAGUUCACUGUAGCUGACAUGGCCCAUUAAAGCCAAUCUGAUCCACUUUAGCCAUCCAUAGCCCAUUAUAGCCCAUAUGACUCACUAUAGCUGACAUGACCCAUUAAAGUUAAUCUGACCUACUGUAGCCAGCUAUAACCCACUAUAGUUUAUAUGGCCCACUGAAGCCAACUUGACCCACUAUAGCCCCC
rnacentral:lncRNA from 1 species